AGCCCUCCGUAAUGUUUUCAAUAGUGGCAGCGCCGAUUUACAUCCUUAGCAGCAGUGCAGGCCAUACCACGCAGCAUGCGGGAUCCUAGUUCCUGGACCACGGAUUGGACCAGCACCCUCUGCAGUGGAAUUGCGAAUUUCUAACCACUGGGCUGCCAGGGAAGUCCCUUUCCUUUAUUAUAAAAAGAAAUACAGUUAACCUGUGGCCACACAGCAAUGUGACUGAGCAACUGUUGCCUGGCCUGACAACCUGAGGCGAGACUUGUCUGGAACGGAACUCAGACGGAAGACCGCUUGUCUGGAUGGUUUGCGUAAACGCUUUGCUCCCAGAGAUUUCUGUAUUUGUUAAGGAUGAUGGCAGCAGAGCAGAUGUGUCUGUUUUUAUCUUUUCUAGUCCCCGAUGACACUAUUCAUUCAUCUGGAAGGAGCAGAGCUUCCAACGAAGAUUUUUUUUCAUUUUCUGAACUUUUCCAUAAACGGUGCUGAGUGAAGUGUCAGCCCUUUAACUCAGUGAUUUCUACGCAGUAAUAAAACUACCCAGGCUAUUUUGUGAUAAGGUUUUCAUCUCUCAAGUAAGAGCUUAUAAAAGAAAUCAGAAAAAUACA